rnacentral:lncRNA from 1 species
AGUAUUGCAAGACGACAUUAAACUAAUAGAACCGAGUCCCGUUCUCGUUCCGUUGCUUUGUGCGAUCAUUGAUUUUGUCUCGCAUGCAUUCUUCUUCUGAUCCCGAACGGGGGAUGAAUCGGAUGCCUUUGUCCUGUGUGCUUUCAGCUACUGUGGUACUGGGCCGUAUGUUCCAAGUCCGAAACUCCUUUUCACAUCAAAAACACUUGUGAUUUUUCUAUUAGACAAUCAUUUUGUCAGCACUUCAAUUAAAGAUCUCUGCAACU